CCUACGGGGGGCAGCAGUGGGGAAUUUUCCACAAUGGGCGAAAGCCUGAUGGAGCAACGCCGCGUGUGUGAUGAAGGUUUUCGGAUCGUAAAGCACUUUCGACCGGGACGAAAAACCUCUGGCUAACAUCCAGGGGCCUGACGGUACCGGGAGAAGAAGCACCGGCUAACUCUGUGCCAGCAGCCGCGGUAAUACAGAGGGUGCAAGCGUUGUUCGGAAUUAUUGGGCGUAAAGCGCGUGUAGGCGGCUUGGCAAGUCAGAUGUGAAAGCCCUCGGCUUAACCGAGGAAGUGCGUCUGAAACUGCUGAGCUUGAGUGUCGGAGAGGAUGGCGGAAUUCCGCAAGUAGAGGUGAAAUUCGUAGAUAUGCGGAGGAACACCGGUGGCGAAGGCGGCCAUCUGGACGACUACUGACGCUGAGACGCGAAAGCGUGGGGAGCAAACAGGCUUAGAUACCCGGGUAGUC
rnacentral:rRNA from 1 species